AAAAUUACAUUAUGAUAAUAAAAAUAUUAAUAUGACAACAGCAUAUGUAGCUUUAGAAGAUGUAUCUGUAAAAAUAGUAAGCAAAAGAGAGUUUAUAUUAAAAACAAAAACUUUAGUAGUACCAGUAAUAAAAUAAAAAACUGUGUCCAGUUUUUUAUUUUAAUGAACAAUUAAUAAUGAACAAUUAAUAAUUAAGGUAGAUAGUUAAUCUAUGAAGCAGUUCGUUCAGCUUUAGCUGAACAUCAGGAUCUUAUACAAUUAAAAUUUUUUCGAAACAAAGUGGAGAAAAAAUAUCCAUAUUGUUCAUUAUUCACUAGGUAAAGGUUAUUCAUUAAUUAAAAGGUUUGUUUACUAAUUAUAGAAAGGGGUAAAAACUUUGGUUGAUAAAUAUAUGGAUAUAGAAGGUAUUGUUACUCAGGAAGAAAUAAAUAGAUAUAAAUUAAACUAUCCAAGGAAAGAAAUAUGUUUAAGCUUUCAAUUUAGAAUUCCUGAGGAAGAUCAGGAUAUAGGAAAAAUAGAAAAAGUUAUUUUAGAAAAUUCUAUAGUAGAAAAUAAAAGGAUAGAGACUCAAGGACAAUAUAAAGUUUUUUUUCAUGGGCUUAUAGAUAUAAAAUUAAUAUAUACAUCAGCAAAAGAAGACUCAAAAAGGUAUUUAAGUAGUAUACAAAAGUCUUUUGCGUCAGUUAUACCAGUUGAAAUCAGCUCAAUCAAUGGGGAUGGGGAUAGUAAAAAGGAUCCAAUUAUGUUUGUAGAAGAGGCCUUGGUUAAUAAAUUAAAUAAUAGGGAAAUUAGUAUAUCGUUACUUAUUCUAGCAUGCACUAUAGAUAGGAAAGUUGAAGAAAAAGAAAAUAGGGCUACACCUUUAAAAAUAAUGGAAGAAGAAACAAAGAAAAUGCUUGAAAGGGUAGAAGAUAAAAAUAAAAUAAAAGAAAAAAAUAUAAAAAUAGAUAAUAGCAAAUCAGGAGAUGUAGACAUAGAAUUAGAAUAUGAUAUGGCGAAAGAAAAUGGAUUUUUCGAAAUUAGUUGGGAAUAAUGUAAACAAAUUAGGAUAAGCGUCAUAUACUGUAUCAUAGGUAUUAAAAAUACUAACUAAUAUUAUUGGUGGUGAGAUAUACAUGGAUGAUAUAAAUAUUUAUAAAGGUAAUAUAGAAGUUGAUAACUUUUCUGUUGCUGAAGAAUUUAAUUUAAGUAGUUUUUGUGAAAAUGAUUCAAUGACACAAUCUGUUCAUUUUAGUCCUUGUGAAUUGUGUAAAAGUACUAGCUUAGACCCUAUGGAUAUUAGUAAAUCAGAAACUAGGUUACUAAGGACAAGAGUAGUAUUAAGAAAUGUAUGUUAUGGUAGAGAAAUAACUGUAGGAUGUAUAGUUAUGAAUAGAUCUGGUCAAGUUUUAGCUUUUAAAGCAGACACAUUUAUUGCAAGUAGAAAUCAAUAUACAUCUAAUGUAGAUGAUGAUUUAGUAUAUGAUAAAGGUUGUUGUGGACAUGGAAACAGUUGCGGAACAGUGCGUAGAUCAUUUGACUUUUUAUUACCACAACAUGAUCUAUGCGAGGCAUUAGAUUUAAGAGUUAGAGUUGUAGCAAAUUACACUUCACCUUGUAGCUAAUAGAUUUUUUUAAAAGAAGCCCUAUGUGAAUGCAUAGGGUUUCUUCUAUAUAUUAUUUUUUAAGUUAAAAGUAGAAAUAAGGACAUAAACUUUAUCUGGUGUAUCAUUAUCUGAAAAAUGGUGAUAUAAGAUGAAAUUUAAUAAUUUAUAAAGAUAAACUAAUUAUAAAGAUUAAUUUGCUUGUAGAAAUAAUACGCACCUGUGCUACAAUAACAAAUGUCCCACGGAGGACAAGCUUCUUAUUGAAAUAUUAGAAGUUAAGGUUCACUUCAAAAACUAAUUUAAGAAAAAAAUAAAUUAGUGUUGACAAAACAAAUUUGAAGUUGUAUACUGUAAAAGUCGCUUGAGUGCGACAAACAAAUAGGUCUUUGAAAAUUAAACAGAGAAAUAAGCCAGUCGAUUCUUAUUGAGAAUCAAAAAAAUAGUAAUUGAGCAAGGUUUUAUCAAUUAUAUUAGUUGAUAAAGACUAAACGAGUUCGAUCCUGGCUCAGGAUGAACGCUGGCGGCGUGCUUAACACAUGCAAGUCGAGCGAUGGGUAGCCGACUUGAGAGGGUGAUCGCAAUGGGGGAAACCCUGACGCAGCAACGCCGCGUGGGUGAUGAAGGUUUUCGGAUCGUAAAACCCUGUUGUCUGGGACGAUAAUGACGGUACCAGAUGAGGAAGCCACGGCUAACUACGUGCCAGCAGCCGCGGUAAUACGUAGGUGGCAAGCGUUGUCCGGAUUUACUGGGCGUAAAGGGUGCGUAGGCGGAUGCUUAAGUGAGAUGUGAAAUACCUAAGCUUAACUUAGGGGCUGCAUUUCAAACUGGGCAUCUAGAGUACAGGAGGGGAAACGGAAUUCCUGGACUGUAACUGACGCUGAGGCACGAAAGCGUGGGUAGCAAACAGGAUUAGAUACCCUGGUAGUCCACGCCGUAAACGAUGAAUACUAGGUGUAGGAGGGUCCAACCUUCUGUGCCGCAGUUAACACAUUAAGUAUUCCGCCUGGGGAGUACGGUCGCAAGACUAAAACUCAAAGGAAUUGACGGGGGCCCGCACAAGCAGCGGAGCAUGUGGUUUAAUUCGAAGCAACGCGAAGAACCUUACCUAGACUUGACAUACCCUGAAUUACUCGUAACUGAGGAAGUCCCUUCGGGGACAGGGAUACAGGUGGUGCAUGGUUGUCGUCAGCUCGUGUCGUGAGAUGUUGGGUUAAGUCCCGAUGAAGCCGGAGUUGCUAGUAAUCGCAAAUCAGAAUGUUGCGGUGAAUACGUUCCCGGGCCUUGUACACACCGCCCGUCACACCAUGAGAGUUGGCAACACCCGAAGUCCGUGAGGUAACCGUAAGGAGCCAGCGGCCGAAGGUGGGGUUAAUGAUUGGGGUGAAGUCGUAACAAGGUAGCCGUAGGAGAACCUGCGGCUGGAUCACCU
rnacentral:rRNA from 1 species